UACGAAGGGUGCAAGCGUUACUCGGAAUUACUGGGCGUAAAGCGUGCGUAGGUGGUGAGUUAAGUCUGAUGUGAAAUCCCCGGGCUCAACCUGGGAAUGGCAUUGGAUACUGGCUCGCUAGAGUGCGGUAGAGGGUGGUGGAAUUCCCGGUGUAGCAGUGAAAUGCGUAGAGAUCGGGAGGAACAUCUGUGGCUAAGGCGGCCACCUGGACCUACACUGACACUGAGGCACGAAAGCGUGGGGAGCAAACAGG
rnacentral:rRNA from 1 species